rnacentral:SRP_RNA from 1 species
CCGUGCUAGGCGGGGAGGUAGCGGUGCCCUGUAUUCGCAAUCCGCUCUAGCGAGGCUGAAUUCCCCAUCGAGGGACCCGGCCUCGGGGUCAGCCCGUCGGCAUGACGUUGAUGGCUGCAGGGUCCCGCGCGGUGUCGGCCCGUGAACCAGGUCAGGUCCGGAAGGAAGCAGCCUUAAGCGGUCACCGGCAGGCGCAGCGGGUCCCCUGCACCGGAGUCACUGUUGGCGCAAGCGCCCGGGACUGGUGUUUCGACAUGAGGUGCACGG